CUGAUGUCAAUGUUGUGUCCCAUGGUCGUAGUGGGAUUAUGACAUACCGUGACGAGUUCCGGAGGCCCAUUGUCGUGCCAUUCUUCCGCUGCAAUCACCUCACGUUUCAGCAUGCUAAUGCACGGCCACAUGUCGCAAGAAUCUGCACACAAUUCCUGGAAGGUGACAAUUGUCGCAGUUCUUCCAUGGCCUGCAUACUCACCAGACAGGUCACUCAUUGAGUAUGGCAUGUGUAGAUCGGUUCCCGGAGGACCACGCUGUCGUCAAAGAAAAUGUCUCAAUGUUGAAAGAUGAGGACUAAACUAUCCUAAUAAAUGUGUUUUGUGAAGGCUACCCAUGUUAUAUUAAGUGUAGCCUACUUAAAAGUAGGGCUGAGCGUUGACUGGAAGCCCGACGUUAAAUUGCAUUGUUCUACUUCAGGCAGAAACUAGCGUCUGAAUCAGGAAAGUUUCCUCUCGAACUUUACAGGCGAGAAUAUAAUGUUGAAUAAGGGCUGAGAGAAUGUUGCAGGACAUUUCCUGGAAAACAGGGGCAGAGGAAAUGUGCAGGUUUUUAUAGCUCAUCUCAUGCUGUACUACACAUUUUGCGCUUAGAGAAUUUAGCAUUUUUAAAGCUAAAAACGAGUUGUUGACUGAUAAAGGCACAGGAUUAUUUGCGGUCUUGUUCGCUAAAUGCAGACCAGCCAACUAUGCAUUGGCAGUGAGACACGCAUUUCACCCUUUUCUCAUGCACUCGCCGCACACCUUAUCUCACGCAUUGAAAAGUACUUGUUUUAUUUAACUUUGUCGUCCAUUGUAUAGUUGGCGAGUUAACUUUAUCUAUGCUCCAAAUCUUUUUGAAAUCGGAGCAUCUGCGCCUGCAAUUUAAUUUAACAUCACGUGCGUAACCUCUCGUUUUGCCACAGUACUGUGAACUGCGGCACAUUGACGCAUAUGAUUGGUGUAGUUAUGUAAGGGAUUGGAUGGAUGUUUUAAAGAAACACCCCUCAAGAUUGGAGUUCAAUGGAGAUCAAGAACGUUAUCCAUUCAGUUGAUAAAACUGUGAAAAGUGUUUUAUGUACAAUAUUGUCAACAUAUUAGGUUGUUUUUACUCCUGUCCCCAUUGCACAAGGCAACCUUUUGACAGCAUGUACUAAAGUCGAUUUAGAGAUUGGCAUUUAGGCUCUGACAGCGAAAAGGCAGCACCAGACCUACAGUAUGUUUCAGCAGGGACGUUUGGUAGGGUUACCUGAUUUGUAGCUAUGUACAUUUUGUUAAACAGAUUGUGAACCCAAAAGUGUAAGUUUGA